GGGGUAACUUUUAAUGGGAGGAAUUACAAUGCCAAGGCACUUGUCUAGACCGUUUCCAUUAAUCAAGAACGAAAGUGGGAGGGUCGAAGACGAUCAGAUACCGUCAUAGUUCCCACCGUAAACUAUGCCGACCUGGGAUCAGCUUGGAGAUGUUACAAGCUCCAAGUUGGUCCCCCUGGGAAACCUAAAGUUUUUCGGUUACGGGGAGAGUAUGGUCGCAAGGCUGAAACUUAAAGGAAUUGACGGAAGGGCACCACCAGGGGUGGAGCCUGCGGCUUAAUUUGACUCAACACGGGGAAACUUACCUGGUCCGGACAUCGAUAGGAUUAUCAGAUCAAUAGCUCUUAUAUGAUUCGAUGAGUGGUGGUGCAUGGCCGUUCUUAGUUCGUGGAGUGAUCUGUCAGCCUAAUUGCGGUAACGAACGAGACCACGGUCUCCAUUUAAGAGAGGCAAGAAGGCGGGCGGAGGUGAAGAUUUGCGUCUUUUUCACCGUCUGCCGUAGGAAGAGUGGUGUUCUCUUUUGGUGAUGUGCUGGGGCAACCUGGUGCAUUGUCGUCAGAGCGACUCAUUUCUCCCUUGUCCCACGCAGCUGUUGACCUUGGUUGAUAGUUGCCUUAUGGAGAGACAACGAGGUAUAAAACAAGCUCGAGGAAGAGUGGCUAUAACAGGUCAGUGAUGCCCUUCGAUGUUCAGGGCUGCACGCGCGCUACAAUGAUACGGCAACGAGUGUCUGCGUCGAAAGACGUGGGUAAUUUUUUAAUCGUUAUCGUGAUGGGGAUUGACCGUGUAAUUUAUCGGUCAUGAAAGAGGAAUCCCUAGUAUGCGCAUUUUUAUUAG
rnacentral:rRNA from 1 species